rnacentral:misc_RNA from 1 species
CAAAUCUUUUGUGUGGGUGUGGAGGGGGGAGUGCGGGAGGUUUAGCUAGGCAAUUUAUAUUUAUUUUGCUUGGCCGAUCUGACCGCAUACACCCAUACCACCCACAACAUUGGCACAGGGCCGCAAGGCUCUGAUGUUUACGCUUGUUUGUUUGACAGAUUUACUUGAGACUAAAAUAUAGA